AUGCACAUUCCACUAAAAGAAAUAAUUUUGAAUGGACUACAUUAUUUAAUCGAGAUUGUUGACCAUAUGAAAGAAAAGAAAAUAGAUACAUAUAACAAAUACAAAAAUAUUAUUGUUAAUUGUAUUUUAUUAUUAGAAAGGCACAAUUUAAUAACAUAUAAAGAUGCAACUACAUAUAUUGAUUGUAAAAAUUUUGAUAAAUUAAACAUAUAUAACAAAGAAUUAAAUAAAUUAGUAACUAAAUUAAAAACAAAAAAUAUUUAUAGUUUAACUGUUUUUAAUUUAAUUAAAGAAAAUAUUAACGGUUAUUCAAAGAUUAUUUUUCUUUUAGAAAAUUUUUUAAAUUCAAGUAAUCAUACAACUAAAAAUAGUACAAACGAAAGUAAUAUCCAAAUAAAUGGCUCUAAAAAAGGUAAAUCUAUCUCCUCUUCCAUUCCAAAAAAAAAAAAAAUUUACAUACAUACAUCUCAAAGCUAUAUUAUAAAUAUAAAAAUAAAAAGAAGAAUGACAAUACUAACAGUACGGAUAACGAAAAAAGAGACAAACAAAAAAAAAAAAAAAAAAAAUUACACAGACAGCAGUUGUAAUAAAACAAUACAAAAUAAUGAUUAUCAUACAUUUAUUUAUAAAAAUCAAAAAAAAAACGACUAUACCAAACAGAUAAAAAAAAAAUGGAACAGACAUUUUAAUUGUUAUUAUUGUAAUGAUUUAAUUAAACUAAAAAAUCAAAUUUUUAUUAUUGCUGGUUUACAUAAUUUAUGUCCUAGAAGAAUAUUAUCAUUAUUAUUAUUUUAUUAUGAACGAAAUGUAGAUAAUGAAAGACAACUACUUCCUUUGUUUUUUUUGUUUUCGAAAGAGAUGAUAACUGAUAUAAUAAUUUUGGAAUUAAAAAUCAAAAAUAAUUGUAUAAAAGAAAAUGAGAAAAAUGAUUUGAACAAGUUACAAUAUAUGUAUACAGCAACUGUUAGGGAAAAACGGAUGAACACAGUGGAUACUGUGUAUAAUGAUACUAUUACUCAUAGUAAUAAUACAGUAAAUAAUAAUACCACUACAAGUAACAUUGAUCAUACUAGUAACAACAUCAGCAGCAUUAGCAACAGCAGAAAUAACAACAGUAGUGAUAACAGAAAUGACAACAGUAGUGACAACAGAAAUGAUAAAAGUAUUGAAAAUAACGGCGGAAAUAACAGCGGAAAUAAUGGCGUAAAUAACGGCGUAAAUAACAGCGUAAAUAACGGUGGAAACAACAGUGGAAACAACAGUGGAAACAAUAGUGGAAACAACAGUGGAAACAACAGUGAAAACAGUAUUGACACGUUGCUCUUUUCAAACCCAAAUCAAUUUUUUUCACCUGACUAUUUCAAAAUGUGUUCUAUUUUAAUAAUAAACGGUUUACUUAAUUUGAAAGUUUUUUAUUCGAAUAUAUUGCCACAUGAUGAUUUAUUAUUUAAUACCUUUCGAGAGUUAUACACAAAAUUUGUUUCUGAUUAUGAUAAUAUAUAUUCUGACCAAAUCAAUCCUUUUUUUAUUAUUACAUGCCUCAAGAUAUUAAUCAAAUGUAUAAUUUAUAUAUUAAAAUGA
rnacentral:lncRNA from 1 species